GAUGAACGCUGGCGGCGUGCCUAAUACAUGCAAGUCGAGCGAACAGAUGAGGAGCUUGCUCCUCUGACGUUAGCGGCGGACGGGUGAGUAACACGUGGAUAACCUACCUAUAAGACUGGGAUAACUUCGGGAAACCGGAGCUAAUACCGGAUAAUAUAUUGAACCGCAUGGUUCAAUAGUGAAAGACGGUUUUGCUGUCACUUAUAGAUGGAUCCGCGCCGCAUUAGCUAGUUGGUAAGGUAACGGCUUACCAAGGCAACGAUGCGUAGCCGACCUGAGAGGGUGAUCGGCCACACUGGAACUGAGACACGGUCCAGACUCCUACGGGAGGCAGCAGUAGGGAAUCUUCCGCAAUGGGCGAAAGCUUGACGGAGCAACGCCGCGUGAGUGAUGAAGGUCUUCGGAUCGUAAAACUCUGUUAUUAGGGAAGAACAACUGUGUAAGUAACUAUGCACGUCGUGACGGUACCUAAUCAGAAAGCCACGGCUAACUACGUG
rnacentral:rRNA from 1 species